ACGAGUUCCAACGAGAUCAAGUACCUUGUAUAUUAAGAAAAAUUCGAUGGACAGACAUUCGAAUGUAUAUUUUCUCUAAACAAAAUUUACUUACUAGAUGAAAAGGGAAGAGGAACAAAGCUAACGUGAAUUAUACGCGAGACUCUUCGGGAGAGAUAGUACGGCUGCAGUCGGGAGAAUCGUACUUUUUUAGCAAAAAUCCGAACAGACAGUAUUUUGCUUAAUUUCUCGUAAGGAGACUUCUACGAGAGAAACGUGGUCACAUGUUUAAACUCCUUGGAAUUCUCUCACGAAGUAAUCCCGAGUACGUCGCACGAUAAGGCCGAGCGGAAGAAUAUACGAUGGCAUAAAGUAAGCGAGACCGGCCAAAGCCUCGCGCGGAAGAUUCAUUUAAGGCUUAUGAAGAAGAGGAAAAGGAAGAAAGGAAGAAGAGAGAGAGAGAGAAGUCGUCCUCCUCGAAAAGAGAAGAUUCACCAUGCCUUCUAUAGUCUAGUCUUCUCUUUCCUCUUCUUUACUAUCGUUCUCAUCCGCUCUUCUGAACACGCCACGCCUCGGAUAAUGGAGAACCCAUCGUGAAAAAAGUAAGAGAGAGAGAGAGGGGGGGGGGGAGAGGGAGAAAGGGAGGGAGGAAGAGGCCAAAACGUGGAAAGAUAGAAGGAGAAGAAAGUUCGGUGGCGAAAACUUUGGAUAUUUUAUUCGGUGCUGAAAUAACUUUUAAUAUUCCCCUCCCAUCCUACUCCUUUCCUACAGGUUUAUAUCAAGAAAAGAUUCCAGUCGCCUCUUUUUUCCUUGAACCUCGCGGCGGGCACGACUCAACGCGACUUUUUUUAACCACAGUCUAACAUCGCGCUUCGCUGAGCUUUGUGGAGUUUUUAAUGAAGAGUUCGAGCUCUCCCGCUUAUUGGUUUUCUGCUCUGAAGGAGAAAUAUUCGACUUCGAUUUACCGCGUGGCUCUCUGUAUGCGUUUGCGUUCGUUCAACGCCUCCGCAUGUGAUUUUUAUAUGGAUUUCAAAGGAAAGACCUUUUGGGGUUUUAUUAAACGAACCACCCAGAUUC